UACGUAGGGACCAAGCGUUGUUCGGAUUUACUGGGCGUAAAGGGCGCGUAGGCGGCGUGGUAAGUCACUUGUGAAAUCUCCGAGCUUAACUCGGAACGGUCAAGUGAUACUGCCAUACUAGAGGUCGGUAGGGGAGUGGUGGAAUUCCUGGUGGAGCGGUGAAAUGCGGCAGAUAUCAGGAGGAACACCCGUAGCGAAGGCGGCACUCUGGGCCGAAUGACUGACGCUGAGGGAGCGAAAGCGU
rnacentral:rRNA from 1 species